UUCGCAAUGCCCGAAAGGGUGACGAAGCGACGCCGCGUGUGGGAAGAAGGCCUUCGGGUUGUAAACCACUGUCGGGAGUUAGGAAGUGCAGGAGCGUUAAUAGCGUUCUUGCUUGACUAAGGCUCCAGAGGAAGCCACGGCUAACUCUGUGCCAGCAGCCGCGGUAAUACAGAGGCGGCAAGCGUUGUUCGGAAUUAUUGGGCGUAAAGAGCACGUAGGCGGCCUUGCAAGUCAGUUGUGAAAGCCUUCCGCUCAACGGAAGAAUGCCAGCUGAUACUACAGGGCUUGAGUACGGGAGGGGAGAGUGGAACUUCUGGUGGAGCGGUGAAAUGCGUAGAUAUCAGGAGGAACACCGGUGGCGAAAGCGACUCUCUGGCCCACACCUGACACUGAGGCGCGAAAGCUAGGGGAGCAAACAGGAUUAGAUACCCUGGUAGUCCUAGCUGUAAACGAUGGGCACUAAGUAGAGGGGUUUU
rnacentral:rRNA from 1 species